UACGUAGGGACCGAGCGUUGUCCGGAUUCAUUGGGCGUAAAGAGCUCGUAGGCGGCUGUUCAAGUCGAACGUGAAAACUCGGAGCUCAACUCCGAGCCUGCGUUCGAUACUGGACGGCUAGAGUCUGGUAGGGGGAUCUGGAAUUCCUGGUGUAGCGGUGGGAAUGCGCAGAUAUCAGGAGGAACACCGGUGGCGAAGGCAGCCCCCUGGGCUAACACUGACGCCUCAUGCACGAAAGCGUGGGGAGCAAACAGG
rnacentral:rRNA from 1 species